UGAACUAAAUUUAGGUCAGCUUGCAAACCUGCAUUGCUUGCCUUCUAAUCUUCCUAGUCUUUUUUCUCUAAAAAAAACUAAGAAUCAAUAUGGUUCCAAAGAUCCCAUAAUUGUCAAACCUCCCUCCAUCUUUGUGUUUUCUUUAUCUAGAAAAUCUUGAUAGCCUUGAUUGCUUGCUUUCUUGCCAUCCUAGCCUUUCUUCUCUCCAAGAAUUUUGUUUCUUUUAGUACCGUGGACACCGAAGUUUCUCCAAUCUAAAGUUAACAACUUUAAAUUCUUCUUGUCACUUAAUUUUGCAGUGCAAGCUUCUUUGGUAUCAUUUAUGCUCUUAAGAAAUUUGAUAUGUAAUAGUUGAAAGAUCAUUCAUCUUCUCUGGUUCUCCAAUUCUAUAGUUAGUCUUAUUUUUAAAGCAAACUAAUUCUGUGAUCCACAUUAUAAUUAAUGUUUCUUGUUUGAAGUUAUGAUCUUGUGGGAAUAUGAAACAAAAAGUAAAACAAUUUUGUAGAUGCCUUGGCAAAAAUAUAUAGCUUAGUCUUAAGAUGUGCAUGAUAGCAUUCUGAUCUAAUUUUAUACUUCAAAAAUACUUUUUAAAAUUUUCAUCUAAUAUAUUUUAGUGAAGUUAGAAUUUAAAAUGUCACCGACGACUCUUUGCUGCCAAUGGAGAUCCUAAGAGCUUUUAACUAUCUAUCUAGCUAUUACUCUUAAUCCAGACCUCUCCCACUCCUUGGAAAAUAUGAUCAUCAACAAUUGUCGUCCAUAAUUGCAGAAGUGUUAUCAAAUGAUUUCAAGUUUUGACAGGCACAAGAUUGUUCAGAUUCCUCAUUUUCAUAUUUCUACUAAAUGGUAUAUUAUGAGGCGUUUUUCAUUCUCCAACUAUGACUUCUAGAAAGACAAUCUAAGCACUGCUCCAAUGUCAUAAUGCAUAAGACCUGACACAAUUUCACUGAAGUUUUCAAACUUUUUGUGAGAUUAGCUUGCUGACACAUGGGAAUUGAAAAGAAACAAAAGGCAGAAGUGAAAUUAUUUAUAGUUAUCUUCUUUGUCCUCUUGCUUUCUAGAAAUAGUGUAGUAGCAAAACGUGUUAUGUGGUGAAGUCUUUUCAAUGGAGUUUAUCAUGUUGCCAUUUACUAUUUUUAUGAUCCAUGGAUGAAAUUCUAUUUAUGUCUUCUAGUUUUGUUGA